rnacentral:rRNA from 1 species
UCCCGGUAAAUCACUUGUGAGGAAACACCCGUUCCCAUUCCGAACACGAACGUUAAGCUCGCAAGGCCAAUGAUAGUGCCCACAAGCGCGAAAGUAGGUUAUGCCGGGAU